rnacentral:lncRNA from 1 species
UCAUUUUCACACUUUUCUUCCUUUUCUUUUUUCUUAUAAUUUCUAUGCAUUUCUUUUAUUUUCUCUCUCAAUUAAUCAUCCUAAGUUCCUAAAUACACCGUUUCCGUUUCAACACCACCGGCUUCCCAUUUUCCUACACAAUUGCUCCAACUCAAGCAUUACGUUUCUUUCACCUUAUGCUGCAUUCAAAUCCUACCCCUUCCCAUAUCUUCUUUCAAUGAUCAGUUACUUGGCGGACUAAUUAUCUAACAUUAACCAUUACUCUCUACUGUUCUCUCUCUUUCAUAAAAUGCACCUUCCUGGACUUUCGCCUCAUUGCUGCACCCUCAAUAUUUUGAUUAAUUGCCUUUGCAAUGUGAAUUGAGUUACCCAAGGUCUUGCAGUCACAUAUAAUGCCUUGGUUACGUUGUGAGGAAAUGAAAUCUCCGAAAAUGAUUCCUUAUGUCCUUUUCGUUUACCUCUUUGAUUCAUGGAUUUUGUUCAAUAAGAUGGUGGAUCAAGGUGUAGUCAACCAAAUUAAAUGUGUUGAUUGAAAAUGUUAUCAAGGCUAAGGAGUUGCUUCAGGUCAUGAUUCAAAGAGGUAUUGUUCUUGAUUUAUGUUAACUUAUAAUUCACUGAUUGAGUGGUUUUUUGUAAGGGUGGUGACCUGAGUAGUACUGCCAAGGAGUUGUUUGUUAGUAUGUCAAGUAAAGGAUAUGAAUUUGUAUAUAAAUAUGAUGUAAUUAGUUAUUACACCGUGUUAAUCUAUGGGUAUUGUAAAACCCUGAAGGUGGAAGAAGCAAUGGAGGUUUAUAAUAAAAUGCUUCGUGCUAGUUGGACAAAGGCCAAAUAUGAAAACAUAUGGUGCCUUGUUAAAAUGGUUUUCUUGCUGACAAGAUUGGCGAUGCAAAGAAACUGUUUGGUGUCAUUAAAACUCAUGAUAUUCCCAAAAUUCAUAUGUAUGUGUUACUUUCUUUCAUGGGCUGUGUAAGAAAGAUUGUUUAUUUGAAGUGAUAGAACUUUUCAAUGAGCUAAACUCAUACAACAUGAAAUUCGACACUGAAAGUUUUAAUGGUCUAAUUGUCACACCCGACUCCAAAAAUUACUAUGCAAUCAAGUGGUGAUGUGACCACCUAGACAUUUAUGCGAGUUAACACGUAAAAUGCCUAGUAAGCGAAAUUAAAUGCAAUCAAUAGACUUAAACGCGAGAUGUGAACUUAAUGAAAUAAGAAAAUUUAUUUGAUAACUCAAAUCAUUGAGUAUAUUUUAGAACUUAAUACAAGGUUUCUUUAAAAAAACUAUGUACAAUUCAAAAUAACACUUAUCCGAUUUUAUAAUGACAAUGACCACUACUGAAAGGGUGAAUUUCACGGAUGGCUCAACAAGUGUUCAAGGCUGCAAGUUCAACACUAGAUGGUCAUUCGUUACUUGAGAGAGAUUAAAACAAAAUAUUUGAAAGGUUAGACAAAAACGUCUGGUGAGUGGGGUCUUUUAUCAAUAUUUUUGUUAAAUUAAAGUUGCCUUCUCGUGCUAUAAUCAUUUCAUCAACUCAUGUGGUAAAUAAUACAUGACUUAAUCAGUAAAGUAUUGAGUUUAAAUUAAAUCAUCUUAAUUUUAUCAACAACGACUUUCACAAAUCAUGAUUUUUCAUAAUUUCAUAUAGAAAUCAUCUUUUUUUUCUUCUUUCAAUUCUUUCAUUGUAAUUCAUAUCACAUGGUAUGCAUCUUGCAUAUACAAUAAGCAUCUCACAAAACUAAUAUGUAUGUUUAAUUAUUACAUCUUUGUACUUUUUUCUUCAGCUCAAGCAUUUACUACACUCUUUUGUCAAAUUGCGGCUAUGUGGAAUAAACUCAAAGCAUUUAGCAAGUUUAAUCAAUUCUAUUAGGCAUAAUGCAUCUUCCAAUGUCAGGUCAUACAAUAAGCAAAGUGUAUUCCAUACCAUAUCACACAAGUAUAAUGGAAGACGGUUGAAGGGCUUGCGACCAGUUGAGAAAGCCACCAGGUGUUUAAGGGUUGUUAUGUUUGGUCAAAGUGUUAUAAUUGUAUAAUAUUAUUAAACGCCUAUUAUUAAUAAAGUGUAUGUUUUGAUUAAGUUAUUUAUCAUUUGGCGUUUAAGGUUGACUUCUGUUGCAUUUUUUGUUUUUGUUAAUAGUUUAAAGGAUGUGAGAAUAAAAUUAGCUAUAAAACCAAUUAACAAAUUUUAAGCUAAUUCG